AUAUGUGGGGUUGAUCUAGUGGUGACAUCUGCCACCUCAUGGUUUGCCAAGGUUGAUUUAGCUGAUCUGGCUGUCUAGGAGAGAUCCUCUUUCUUUUUCUCCCAUCACUGUGUGUGAGCUCUCCUGAAGCUGUGUGACAAGGUGGGUUGCAAGAGGAUACCUCUUGAUAGAGGAAGGUUGUUCUUUGGAGUAGUUCUUUCCCCCGCUAGAUCCUCCAAGCUUUCACAAAACCCAGAACACAUACGACUUAGACCUUUACAAAUCAAGUGUGCACAUAUCUACUAAAGAAUUGGUGAAUGAAA
rnacentral:snRNA from 1 species